CGGCUUUUUUGUGCUGCACAAUCACUGUAUACACUGCUGAUUGCGCUGCUCCAACGAAACUCAUCCAAGUUGUCAGCGACAACUGUGCUGGAUAUCUUCUCAAUGCCAAAGCCUGCAGAUUUCGAGGAAGUCGAGAAAUACAUGGGAAGGAACUACGAGUCCAGAAGCACAUUGAAAUUUUGUGAAUAUCUAACGUACCUUUCGAGGAAGUAUGCAAAAGGCAGAAACGCCAAACCAGAAACGAUAUGUCGGUAAGUAACAUAGACGUGAGGGUUCAUGCCAUGAUUGAACGAAGCCUGCGUUAUGAAGUAGAGGAAAGUGUAGGCAAGCUGAGCCAAAACCAUGAGAAUGUGAGGCUUAAACUGCUGAAACUUUCCGAGAAUUCUGCCUCUGAUCGCCUUCAUCGCCAUUGCAAAUCUGCUGGUUUCUUUUGGGUAAUCUGAAAUCUUAAUGAGGCCUGUUUUUGUUGAUAGUCUUGACAGUUCUGCAUGAAUGCAGGAUCAGAAUCAAGAAUGGAGGAAAA